rnacentral:rRNA from 1 species
AGCGAACGCUGGCGGUAUGCUUAACACAUGCAAGUCGAGCGCGAAAGUGACUUCGGUCAUAAGUAGAGCGGCGGACGGGUGAGUAACACGUGGAUAAUCUGCCUUUAGGACUGGGAUAACCCUGGGAAACUAGGGCUAAUACCGGAUAAGACCACAGGUUCCAUGGAACCAGGGGUAAAAGGCGGCCUUCGGGCUGUCGCCGAAAGAUGAGUCCGCGUCCCAUCAGGUAGUUGGUGAGGAACGGCUCACCAAGCCGAAGACGGGUAGCCGACCUUAGCGGGUGAUCGGCCACACGGGGACUGAGACACGGCCCCGACUCCUACGGGAGGCAGCAGUGGGGAAUCUUGGGCAAUGGGCGCAAGCCUGACCCAGCAAUACCGCGUGAGGGA